rnacentral:rRNA from 1 species
AGUGAACGCUGGCGGCGUGCCUAAUACAUGCGAGUCGAACGGAAUUUAAAAGAGCUUGCUCUUUUAAAUUUAGUGGCGCACGGGUGAGUAAUAUAUAGCUAAUCUGCCCCUUGCUGGAGGACAACAGGUAGAAAUGACUGCUAAUACUCCAUACUCCUUUUUACCAUAAGAUAAAUCGGGAAAGAAUUUCGGCAAGGGAUGAGACUAUAUCGUAUCAGCUAGUCGGUGGGGUAACGGCCUACCGAGGCUAUGACGCGUAACUGGUCUGAGAGGAUGAUCAGUCACAUUGGAACUGAGACACGGUCCAAACUCCUACGGGAGGCAGCAGUAGGGAAUAUUGCGCAAUGGGGGAAACCCUGACGCAGCAACGCCGCGUGGAGGAUGACACUUUUCGGAGCGUAAACUCCUUUUGUUAGGGAAGAAUAAUGACGGUACCUAACGAAUAAGCACCGGCUAA